rnacentral:ncRNA from 1 species
UGAACUAUGCCUGGGCAGGGCAAAGCCAGAGGAAACUGGUGGAGGUCCGUAGCAGUCCUGACGUGCAAANCGGUCAUCCGACCUGGGUAUAGGGGCGAAAUAAUAAUAAUA